rnacentral:lncRNA from 1 species
UAAAAUAAUAAUAAAUUCAAGGGAAAACUUCAAAUACAACCCCUGUGGUUUCGCACUUUUUUACUUUAAUACUCUGUAAUUUAAAGUGUAUCAAUUUAGUACCAUGUGGUUUCGUACUUUCUCACUUUAGUACUCUGUGGUUUAAAGUGCAUCAAUUUAGUAUUCCGUGGUUUCAUUUUUCUCUUUUCGUCGAUUUCUCUAUUAAUAUUUCGUUAAAUUAUAUACAAAAAACUUAGGAUACCCUACCUAGGUUUAUCGGUUUUAACUUUGUCAUUGAUUUUUUUUCCUCCGUUAAUAUUUCGUUCAAUUAUGUGCAAAAAACUUCAGAUAUCCUACCUAGGUUUAUCGAAUAUUCACUCUAGUAUCUUUUAAUGUUAACUUUGUCCCUGAUUUAACGAAAAAAAUUAGUGAAAUGGAUAAUAAAAAGAGAAAAAUAAAACCACAGGGUACUAAAGUAAGAAAGUGUGAAGCCACAGGAGCUAACUUGAUACAUUUUAAACUACAGAAUACUAAGUAAGAAAGUGUAAAAUUGCAAGAAAAGUAUUUGAAGUUUACCCUAAAUUCAAAUUCAAAUUCAAAGGUG